AGCCUGCCCAGUGACCAAGUUAAACGGCCGCGGUACCCUAACCGUGCAAAGGUAGCGCAAUCACUUGUUCUUUAAAUGAGGACUAGUAUGAACGGCAUCACGAGGGUUACACUGUCUCCCCACUCCACUCAGUGAAACUGAUCUCCCCGUGAAGAAGCGGGGAUAAAAAUAUAAGACGAGAAGACCCCAUGGAGCUUUAAACUCAAUAUCAUCUGCUACCACAAUAGCCAAGUAACAAUGCAGCAAUGACAACUAGUUUUUGGUUGGGGUGACCGCGGAGUAAAACAAAACCUCCGCAACGAAAGGAACUAACAACCUAAUCUAAGAGUAACAGCUCUAAGAAUCAUAUAAAUUGACCUAACUGAUCCAAUUACUUGAUCAACGAACCAAGUUACCCUGGGGAUAACAGCGCAAUCCAUUUAAAGAGCUCAUAUCGACAAAUGGGUUUACGACCUCGAUGUUGGAUCAGGGUAUCCCAGUGGCGCAGCAGCUACUAACGGUUCGUUUGUUCAACGAUUAAA
rnacentral:rRNA from 1 species